rnacentral:lncRNA from 1 species
AGACAGUAAAAUAUUGGACAGAGAUGAUGUGUCGACCAAUACACACAACAACAACAAAAAAAAAAAAAGAAGAAAGAAGAUAUCUCUCAUUUCCAACUUUCAAAAAAAAAAAAAAAAAAAACUCAAUCAAACAUAUUCUAACAAGUGAAGUUGCAUUUGUUUUUGGCACAAAAUUCAUCAUAAAAAUUGUAAUUAAGCUGGGAUAUUCGGGGAAAAAAUCUAGUAAUGGCAUAUCUUUGAUGAUUUACUUAUUACUAAAACACAGUAGAGACCAUUCAAUACACUUUUUUAUUUUAGUGGGAUGUGUCUAAAAAAAACCCGAGAGAAAAUCC